rnacentral:rRNA from 1 species
GAUGAACGCUGGCGGCGUGCCUAAUACAUGCAAGUCGAGCGAACAGACGAGGAGCUUGCUCCUCUGACGUUAGCGGCGGACGGGUGAGUAACACGUGGAUAACCUACCUAUAAGACUGGGAUAACUUCGGGAAACCGGAGCUAAUACCGGAUAAUAUAUUGAACCGCAUGGUUCAAUAGUGAAAGACGGUUUUGCUGUCACUUAUGAUGGAUCCGCGCCGCAUUAGCUAGUUGGUAAGGUAACGGCUUACCAAGGCAACGAUGCGUAGCCGACCUGAGAGGGUGAUCGGCCACACUGGAACUGAGACACGGUCCAGACUCCUACGGGAGGCAGCAGUAGGGAAUCUUCCGCAAUGGGCGAAAGCCUGACGGAGCAACGCCGCGUGAGUGAUGAAGGUCUUCGGAUCGUAAAACUCUGUUAUUAGGGAAGAACAAAUGUGUAAGUAACUAUGCACGUCUUGACGGUACCUAAUCAGAAAGCCACGGCUAACUACGUG